UGCUGCAUCAGUACGGCGUUGACGCGGCCGUUAUCGCCGCCGACAAUCGCCGCGCCGUAGGCGGUGGACGGUGCGGACUCGCCGCGCAGCGAC
rnacentral:tRNA from 1 species